GCAUAUCAAUAAGCGGAGGAAAAGAAACCAACAGGGAUUGCCCCAGUAACGGCGAGUGAAGCGGCAAGAGCUCAAAUUUGAAAGCUGGCUCCUUCGGGGUCCGCAUUGUAAUUUGCAGAGGAUGUUUCGGGAGCGGCUCCCAUCUAAGUGUCCUGGAACGGACCGUCAUAGAGGGUGAGAAUCCCGUAUGGGAUGGGGUGCCCGCGCCCGUGUGAAACUCCUUCGACGAGUCGAGUUGUUUGGGAAUGCAGCUCUAAAUGGGUGGUAAAUUUCAUCUAAAGCUAAAUAUUGGCCGGAGACCGAUAGCGCACAAGUAGAGUGAUCGAAAGAUGAAAAGCACUUUGAAAAGAGAGUUAAAAAGCACGUGAAAUUGUUGAAAGGGAAGCGUUUGCGAUCAGACUCGCCGACGGGGUUCAGCCUGCCUUCGGGCAGGUGUACUUCCCCGCCGGCGGGCCAGCGUCGGUUUGGGCGGCCGGUCAAAGGCCCUGGGAAUGUAACGCCUCUCGGGGCGUCUUAUAGCCCAGGGUGUCAUGCGGCCUGCCCGGACCGAGGAACGCGCUUCGGCUCGGACGCUGGCAUAAUGGUCGUAAACGACCCGUCUUGAAACACGGACC
rnacentral:rRNA from 1 species